GAGGUUGUGGCUCAGUGGUAGAGCGCUCGCCUAGCAUGCACUGAGGUACUGGGUUUGAUUCUCAGCACCACA
rnacentral:tRNA from 1 species